GGGACACAGGAGAUGGGGCUAGCCCCAGGACCCAAAGCAAUGUUAUGGGGCA
rfam:Rattus norvegicus chromosome 2, whole genome shotgun sequence.